UGUAGUACUUUUUGAAGUCUUUUCUACUCGU
rnacentral:piRNA from 1 species